AAUUAAGUUUUUUCUGAAUUGGUUUUCUUGACGGUCGGGGGAGGUGCCACUAGGGCAACCUGCCUCCUUAGUUGGGAAAAGCCAUCGAAAAGGGAAAUUAUUAUUGACUCAGAAUUGUAGUUCCGCAUUCUCCAGCAAUUAAAGGGACAAUCUGAUAUGAGAAGGACCUCGCGGCGCCUUAAUUAGUUAGUGAGGUAGGGAAUCGCUCAGCGAGACGAUGCUCAGCCGACCUGAGAGGGUGAUCGACCACCUCGGGUGUGAGACACGCCCCCAGACUCUUACGUGAGGCAGCAGUCGGGAAUGAUUGCACAAUGAGUGAAACCAUUAUGCAGCAACGCCGCGUGAGUGAUGACGGCCUUUGGUUUGUAAAUAUCUGUCUUCCGGGACGAUAAAGACGGUACCUGAAGAAGAAGCCACGGCUAAGUACGUGCCAGCACCCGCGGUAAUAGUUAGGUGGCGAGCGUUAUCCGGAUUUACUGGGAUUAAAGGGAAGAGUAGGCGGAUUUUUAAGUAUAGAUGUGAAAUACUCGGGCUUAACCUGAGUGCUGCAUUUCAAACUAGAAUUUUAGAGUGCAGGAGAGGAGAAGAAAAUUCAUAUGUGUAGCGUUGAAAUGAGUAGAGAUUAGGAAGAACACCAUUGCAGAAGGCGCUUCUAUGGACUGUAAUUGACGUUGAGGCUAGAAAGCGUGGGGAGCAAACAGGAUUAGAUACCAUGCUAGUCCACUCCGUAAACGAAUGAAUAGAUAGGUGUGGGGUGUGGUGCAUGACCUUCGUG
rnacentral:rRNA from 1 species